rnacentral:rRNA from 1 species
UACGUAGGGUGCUAGCGUUGUUCGGAAUUAUUGGGCGUAAAGAGCUCGUAGGUGGUUUGUCGCGUUGUUCGUGAAAACUCACAGCUCAACUGUGGGCGUGCGGGCGAUACGGGCAGACUGGAGUACUGCAGGGGAGACUGGAAUUCCUGGUGUAGCGGUGGAAUGCGCAGAUAUCAGGAGGAACACCGGUGGCGAAGGCGGGUCUCUGGGCAGUAACUGACGCUGAGGAGCGAAAGCGUGGGGAGCGAACAGG